CAAACUGCGUUUCAGAAUAUUGGCAUAUCAAAUAGGUCUCAAGAUUACACGACCAUACAUGACCCAAAAACAUAUAUUAUAUUUUGCAUAUCUAAGAAAGUACUACAAGCCUAAUGAGUUCCAUACGAUUUACAUUAACCCUAGCGAUCCAUCUAGGGAAUGUAGAAUGCAAAACAAAAUAGUAACUAUGCAUGAUAUAAUGGUUCAGGCAAUUUGCAUAAGCUAAAUUGCCCUCAAUCUUCAAAACUUCGCUUUGUUGCGUGCCUUGAAUAAGAUUGUUAAACUAGUCACCAUCAUCGCCAGAGUUAGUAUCUCAUUCAUCGCCAUAUGGAUCAUAAUGUUUAUGGCACGAGAUAUCCCCUGCCUUGAUGUCAUAGGUGUUAUCGUCAUCAUCAUUAAUGGAAUGAUUAUUGUCAUGACUCAGACCGCCUCCAAUAUUGCUUCCCACCCCCCUAUAAAAUGAUAACUUGUAAGAGAGAUGAAAAAUGAUGUAAUGUACUGUAGUUAAAUUCAGUUGAGCCACAGGGAACAAACUUUUAUAGGGAAGCUAUAGGGAAUAAAAUUAAUUGUUCUAUAUUGUACUGGAGUAUCCAUGGACUAGGAACUCAGUGUACGUCAGCAUUUACUAGUGCUAGACCAGUGGUUCGCUCCUUUUCAAACCAUGCAUCCGGGGAAUAGAAACUAAAUGUAAAUGGGAACAAUACACAAAUAAAACUAGUUCACUCGUUUGCACCUUUUAUCCACAAACUUAUAUACUAGUAAUUUUGACCUUUUAAUAUAGUUCCCUGGUACAUGUGAUAAUUCGUUUUUAGUAAUCAACUCUGCAAUUUAGCAAAGAGGAAUGAUUUAUGAACUUAAAGUAAAUCCAGAAAGUUACUAAGUGAAAUAGUUAAGUGCGGCACAACCAUGGCAAGCUUUGUCAUCAUCCGAAUAUGCACAUACUUUCUCAUCUUACUUUGUUCCUGUAUAACUAGUUGUACAAAGCGAAGCUGCUGCAACUACUACUACUACUCCCUAGUAGAAUUUCCACCAUAGUUGUGUGAUUUGUGCAGUUUUGACAUCUUAGCUCGCAAAGAUUUGACAUUAGAAAUAUAUCAGACUAGACUAGCUGGGGAUUGCAGCCUUAACUUGCGGAGUACUACAAUACGGUAAUUGGUAAUGGAACUGAACAGAGGUGGUACACCUACCUGAAGUCGGCCAUCUCACUGGAUUGGAUCUUUUUGGGCAGUGACUCGUAGAAAAUUCUGAGAGGUUCCCUCUGUCAAAUUUAAAAAAAAAAUCAGAUGAAUGAAAACAUAUAUGUACUUUUUGGACAGUGACUCGUAGAAA
rnacentral:lncRNA from 1 species